GUGCUCGGUUCAACAGCACAUACACAAAAUAAAUUGGAAUGAUACAGAGAUCAGCAUGGCGCCUGCGCAAGGAUAACACACAAACUCAUGAGGCAUGCCAUUAUUUU
ensembl:snRNA U6 U6 spliceosomal RNA